UUUUGCUUUCCUGUCAUUGAAUAGAGACAGUUGGCUGUUAAAUUAAAAGGCUCAGGGCUCUGGCCCCCUCGGCGUCAUGUCUUCGGUACUGGCGGCCAGCAGUCCGCCGGUUCUAUCCUCAAGCGCCGGGACACAG